rnacentral:lncRNA from 1 species
CAGAGUCCCAUGAUCUCAGAGUAUGAUCCUAUAAAAGAUGACAAGAGAAGAAAGGGAAGUGCUCAGAUGGAAUUUCUUCAAGGCCAAACUGAAACUGAGGAGGGCCUGGUAGAAAAUGUGCCAGGGAUCCCAUUAAGUUUAUCCAGCAGUUUUCAUCAAAUAAGAAUGUUUUCCUACUUCCUAGGAAGGAAGGAAAUAAAGAAAUAAGAAAGGAAUGGAUGAACAGACUAAUGAAUGAAAGAAGAAAGAACAAAUGAAAAAUAUUGAAAAAAGUCUCUCAACUAGUCAGGACUUUCUCUUUAUUUAUCUUGGAGUCAUAGGAAAUAGCCUUCUCAGAGUGACCCUGAAAUAGUAUUUGUUUGAACAUCACAAGCUAAAUUUCCUUUUUAAAUUGUCUGUUUCCAGAAUCUGGUUCUAUGUGGGAAAAAAAAAAGAAGCAGUCUUGGAAUUGUAGGUUUGUCAGAAUGGAUAACUUUAAAGGUUUUUUUUAGAACCAAACUAAUACUUAAUCCAAAGAGUUGGAGAUAAUUUGAAUGUUUCACAGAAAAA